rnacentral:rRNA from 1 species
GACGAAGGGGGCUAGCGUUGUUCGGAAUUACUGGGCGUAAAGCGCGUGUAGGCGGUUGUCCAAGUUGGAUGUGAAAGCCUUGAGCUUAACUCAAGAAAUGCAUUCAGGACUGGAUGACUAGAGGACCGGAGAGGAUAGUGGAAUUCCCAGUGUAGUGGUGAAAUACGUAGAGAUUGGGAAGAACACCAGUGGCGAAGGCGGCUAUCUGGACGGUUUCUGACGCUAAGACGCGAAAGCGUGGGGAUCGAACAGG